UUCCCGUACCGCAUCUUUUCGGUUUACCACGUCCAACAUGGCCAUCCGUGUUCUAUUAACGUCCUUUACGUCUAUAAUAUUAUAUUUGUACUUUGAAAUAAACGCCUUUUGUUCAUUUUUGCUCUUUCUCUAUUCGCCACUUUAUCUUAUAAACAAAUGGAAAUCUAUUUUCAUUUUAGCGUAGAAUAAAUCAUGCUAUACUACCGUUGGGAUAUUGACUUCUGGACGAAAUACAUUUUCCAAAACUAUUCGUGUACUGUGGGCGGAAUCCCGAUUUUCGCGACUUGAUUUUACAAUUUCGUAGGGAAUAUAGUUGCUAAUA